CGCAACCCUUGUCCUUAGUUACGGCACGUUAUGGUGGGCACUCUAAGGAGACUGCCGGUGCAAACCGGAGGAAGGUGGGGAUGACGUCAAGUCAUCGUGGCCCUUACGGCCUGGGCUACACACGUGCUACAAUGGUCGGUACAAAGGGUUGCCAAGCCGCGAGGUGGAGCUAAUCCCAUAAAACCGAUCGUAGUCCGGAUCGCAGUCUGCAACUCGACUGCGUGAAGUCGGAAUCGCUAGUAAUCGUGAAUCAGAAUGUCACGGUGAAUACGUUCCCGGGCCUU
rnacentral:rRNA from 1 species